ACUGCCCCUAGAGUUGUUGCAGAUAUGGCUGCUGUGUCACUUGUAUUCAAGUUGGUGGGAGGGAAGAGAGAAGCUAUGUCUACACUUACUGUUCUGACCUAUGAGCAACUGAAUCAUUAGUAGCCCAAUAUU